UGGUGUCCUUCACAGCUGCUUC
rnacentral:piRNA from 1 species